rnacentral:rRNA from 1 species
CACGUAGGGGGCGAGCGUUGUCCGGAUUUAUUGGGCGUAAAGAGCUCGUAGGCGGCUCAGUAAGUCAGGUGUGAAAACUCCAGGCUCAACCUGGAGACGCCACCUGAUACUGCUGUGGCUAGAGUCCGGUAGGGGAGCAUGGAAUUCCUGGUGUAGCGGUGAAAUGCGCAGAUAUCAGGAGGAACACCCGUGGCGAAAGCGGCUCUCUGGAACGGUACUGACGCUGAGACGCGAAAGCGUGGGGAGCGAACAGG